AGUGCCUGCUGCUGGGCCUGUGGAGAGAAGAGGCAAACUAGGCCAGGCAGAGCACGCCUCCUCUCUUCCGCCCCUGCCCCCCGCGCUGUACUCAUAAUGCAGGCUGGGGAGGAGCCUUCCAGAUCUUACGUUCUUAUUUGAAUCUAUUUUUGUUUUUCUUUCUUGAUCCCUAGAGGAAACUGGAAGCCAGUACACAAAGCUAGAACGAUAUCAAACAGCUCAGCGGAUGACCCCGGAAGGAUGAAUCAUACGCCUGUUUCCCACACAGAAGCCGGAUUAGUCCUGGCUAGAGCACGGCAGAAGGUUUUCCUUAUAAAGGUAAUACAAUUUAAGGAGCGACCCUUUUACAAAGACUUCCAAGUUCUAGGUUGGAUUCGAAUCCACACUUUCCUUAAAUGUAGCUGCACUGAAAGUGCCUUUCAAUCAAAACAAUGCAUUGUCUGAAAACAUCUUCUGAAGUGUACGUUGGGGGUGCUGUGCUGGUUUGUAUAAGCUCGGCCUAGGGUGUGGAACUAUUAGAAGGUGUGGCCCUGUUGGAGUAGGUGUGGCCUUGUUGGAGUAGCCAUGACACUCUGGAUGUGGGCUUUAAGACCCUCGACUUAGCUGCCUGGAAGUCAGUCUUCCACUAGCAGCCUUCAAAUGAAGAUGCAGAACUCUCAGCGCCUCCUGCACCUUGACGAUGCCCUGUUCCUGCCUUGAUGAUAAUGGACGGAACCUCUGAACCUGUAAGCUGGCCCUAAUUAAAUGUUGUCCUUUAUAAGA